rnacentral:tRNA from 1 species
GAGGUUGUGGCUCAGUGGUGGAGCGCUUGCCUAGCAUGCAUGAGGCACUGGGUUCAAUUCUUAGCACCUCA